AUUGAACGCUGGCGGCAGGCCUAACACAUGCAAGUCGAGCGGAGCGGCGGACGGGUGCGUAAUGCCUAGGAAUCUGCAUGGUAGUGGGGGAUAACGUCCGGAAACGGGCGCUAAUACCGCAUACUAUCAGAUGAGCCUAGGUCGGAUUAGCUAGUUGGUGGGGUAAAGGCCUACCAAGGCGACGAUCCGUAACUGGUCUGAGAGGAUGAUCAGUCAAACUGGAACGGAGACACGUGCCAUACUCCGACGGGAGGCAGGAGUGGGGAAUAUUUGACAAUGGGCGAAAGCCUGAUCCAGCCAUGCCGCGUGUGUGAAGAAGGUCUUCGGAUUGUAAAGCACUUUAAGUUGGGAGGCGUUACCCGCAGAAGAAGCACCGGCUAACUCCGUGCCAGCAGCCGCGGUAAUAC
rnacentral:rRNA from 1 species